AGUCAUAUGCUUGUCUCAAAGACUAAGCCAUGCAUGUCUAAGUAUAAAUGAUAUACAAUGAGACUGCGAAUGGCUCAUUAAAACAGUUAUAGUUUAUUUGGUAAUCGAAAUUACAUGGAUAACCGUGGUAUCUUCUAGAGCUAAUACAUGCAGGUUAGCCCGACUUCUCGGAAGGGCUGUAUUUAUUAGAUAACAGACCAAUAUUCCUCGUGUCUAUUGUGGUGACUCAUAGUAACUGAUCGGAUCGCAUGGCCUUGUGCCGCGACAAACCAUUCAAGUUUCUGACCCAUCAGCUUUCGAUGGUAGUGUAUUGGACUACCAUGGCUUUCACGGGUAACGGAGGAUUAGGGUUCGAUUCCGGAGAGGGAGCCUGAGAAACGGCUACCACAUCUAAGGAAGGCAGCAGGCGCGUAAAUUACCCAAUCCUGACUCAGGGAGGUAGUGACAAGAAAUAACGGGUCGGGGCAUUCGCCUCGGGAUUGCAAUGAAUCGAAUUUACACCCCUUAAUGAGGAUCAAU
rnacentral:rRNA from 1 species